CGCGUCUGGUGGCGGCGCUGGCGGCGCUGCAUGCUCGCUACGGCGCCCUGCCAUGGGCUCGGGUCUUGCAGCCCGCUAUCGACUUAGCAAGAAACGGUUUCAACGUAUCUGAGAGUUUGGCGAUAAUGGAGACCGCGGCAGGCAACACCGAUGUUCUGAAAGGAAUGCACCGCACCGAACCCUUGCUAGCUCAAUUCCUUGAGACAUUGCAGCAAAAUACUAGUUCAGAGCUAUCUGCGGCAUGGGGCGGCGCGGCGACGCUGCGGGCGGGCGCG